rnacentral:rRNA from 1 species
UGCAGAAUCCCGUGAACCAUUGAGUCUUUGAACGCAAGUUGCGCCCGAAGCCGCUAGGCCGAGGGCACGCCUGCCUGGGCGUCA